rnacentral:rRNA from 1 species
UACGGAGGGGGCUAGCGUUGUUCGGAAUUACUGGGCGUAAAGCGCGCGUAGGCGGCUUAGCAAGUUAGAGGUGAAAGCCCGGAGCUUAACUCCGGAAUUGCCUUUAAAACUGCAAAGCUAGAAUCAUGGAGAGGUGAGUGGAAUUCCGAGUGUAGAGGUGAAAUUCGUAGAUAUUCGGAAGAACACCAGUGGCGAAGGCGACUCACUGGACAUGUAUUGACGCUGAGAUGCGAAAGCGUGGGGAGCAAACAGG